rnacentral:rRNA from 1 species
GUGGGGAAUCUUGGGCAAUGGGCGAAAGCCUGACCCAGCCACGCCGCGUGGAGGAAGACACCCCUACGGGGCGUAAACUCCUUUUAUACGGGAAGAAGGCCUUCCUCGGGAAGGUUUGACGGUACCGUAUGAAUAAGCACCGGCUAACUCCGUGCAGCAGCCGCGGUAAUACGGAGGGUGCAAGCGUUGUCCGGAUUCACUGGGUGUAAAGGGUGUGUAGGCGGGGCGGUAUGUCAGAGGUGAAAGCCCACGGCUCAACCGUGGAAUUGCCUUUGAAACUGCCGUUCUUGAGUCUCGGAGAGGUCGCUGGAAUUCGUGGUGUAGCGGUGAAAUGCGUAGAUAUCACGAGGAGCACCAGAGGCGUAGGCGGGCGACUGGACGAGAACUGACGCUGAGGCACGAAAGCGUGGGGAGCAAACAGG